AGACAUCAGCGAUUCAUUUUGUGAGCCUUGACCAACAGCGAGGUAAGCAUUCAUGCCUAGCUCUUUCAUCUGCUCUUCACCGAUAACACGUGUUGUCAGCCUAUUUUCAGAAAUGUCAGCUAAUUGACGUGCUUGUGAUGCUAAAUAUGCCGCAUUACAAAUGUUUGGUGGCAUGUUGCUGAGAUCUUUCGC
rnacentral:antisense_RNA from 1 species